GGCCUCAUGGCGCAACGGCAGCGCGUCUGACUCCAGAUCAGAAGGUUGUGUGUUCAAGUCACACUGGGGUCA